UUAAUGAAACUCCCGCCCAGUCACAGUCCGAGCGUUGAAGCCAGCUUUUCCGCUGGUGAGCCGUCGCAGGCAAUGAGGGUGGCUCGGCAUCAGAAUGCGGAGGGGUGGAACUCCCGUGG
rfam:Clostridiales bacterium GWF2_38_85 gwf2_scaffold_205, whole genome shotgun sequence.